ACCUUAGGCUGCUUCGGACGCCAACAGGCCCGCGCCUGCUAGAUCAUAACGAGACCACCGGCUUCUACGUCCCACACCCAAAAAGUUGAGAAUGCUUGGGAAGAAGAUAAGAGGGGAAAGGAGAGCCCCAAGCGUGGAAUCGGAAACCAAUUCCACAGAAGACUGGGCUUCAAGAGCAUGGAACCUACUCUCUAAACUCCGGGACCAAUCACCACUUGUGCAGUGCAUCACUAACUUCGUUUCCAUGGAUUUGAUGGCCAACACUCUCCUAUCAGCCGGUGCAUCGCCGGCUAUGAUUCACUCCAUUGAAGAAAUUCCUGACUUCACUCCUCAUGCUCGCUCCC
rnacentral:misc_RNA from 1 species